rnacentral:rRNA from 1 species
CGCAUGCAGGUGGUUUGUUAAGUCAGAUGUGAAAAGCCCGGGGCUCAACCUCGGAAUUGCAUUUGAAACUGGCAGACUAGAGUACUGUAGAGGGGGUAGAAUUUCAGGUGUAGCGGUGAAAUGCGUAGAGAUCUGAAGGAAUACCGGUGGCGAAGGCGGCCCCCUGGACAGAUACUGACACUCAGAUGCGAAAGCGUGGGGAGCAAACAGGAUUAGAUACCCUGGUAG